rnacentral:rRNA from 1 species
CCGUAGCCCAAGAGAUCGGGAUAACACCUGGAAACAGAUGCUAAUACCGGAUAAUAACAGAUGAUGCCUAUCAACUGUUUAAAAGAUGGUUCUGCUAUCACUCUUGGAUGGACCUGCGGUGCAUUAGCUAGUUGGUAGGGUAACGGCCUACCAAGGCGAUGAUGCAUAGCCGAGUUGAGAGACUGAUCGGCCACAUUGGGACUGAGACACGGCCCAAACUCCUACGGGAGGCAGCAGCA